AGAGAGAGAGAGAGAGAGAGAGAGAGAGAUUGUGUGUGUGUGAGAGAGAGAGAGGUGCCUCAGCAAAGCGGCAAGGAUGAGACAGCAACACACUGACACACAAACACACACUCACACUCUGCAUAAACCAGGGAGAGUCAGCACACACACACACACACACACACACACAAAGAGAGAGAGAGGUAUGCACAUGAGUAACGUUAAUACACAUCACAUCUGACACACUGUAGACAUCUGAGAGCAGAACAUCACUGCAGCUUUACACAUCACCAUCAAGGUCAAGAAAGGACAUUUGGGUUCGUUCUGGGGUAGAUUCCGUUAUGUUUGAUUCUGGUAUUUUGUGAGUAUAUUUUUAAUGACUAGUAAGUGGCUUAAUGGUGUCCCUACUGUUAAAGCAAACAACUGUACAAUGUAGCACAAAGAACCGUGGAUGGGUUUAGUGCUGUGUUAACGUUACCUGUAUUCGCGAGGAGAGAGAUCCUCUGUUUUUCUGAAUAUGGCGACACCUUGUGGUCGAGAAGCAGAAUUUCAAGAUGCCAUUACUGCGUUUCUGUGGAGAGAACAACUGAUAGUCAAAACAAAGGACAAACUCUCGUCAGUAAAGUCAUAAUGGCAUGAUAAAUCGCAUAUGAUCAAAGGCCACUUACUAUAUAAACUGCUUUUAGAUUAACGUUAAGCUUCCGAUAAGAAAAAUACUCAGAAGUCAACUAGCAACAAGACCCUACUAGAUUAAUAUAGUAGCCUAUAACUGCAAUACAUGUUACUUCAUCUGUGAAUGCGCCAUUCGGUUUUUAACCGACGUUGUUGAUAAUAUAGACCUGUAUACAGUGGUGCUCGUACUCGUAUGUUGCAAUGGAAAACGGUCCAUACAGCUAUUAGUAUUAAUAUUUGACUGCGCACAUCAGCUAUUAAACAAUAUCAAGAAUUUCAGCGAGCCGUAUAAAUUAAGCACUGUUUAUUUUGUACAGGCUAGGCUAAAAAAGUAACAAAACAAAAACAAAAAACCUUAACAGGAUAAAAAAAAGUAAAAAAACAUUCUCACUUGUGUGAUUUUGGAGUCUUCUUGCAAUCAGUCAGUCUGUCUGUGCCAGGACAGGUUAUAAAUUUAGGUUGUUUAGAUCGAAUGGGAAUGAUAAACUUACAUUUCAAAUGAAUACAAGAUACAUAUAUUUUUUUCUUUCUUUAAAUAAAUAGGCUAAUAUGUGUAAAAUAAGAAAAUUUAAAAUAUUUACCUGCUUUUCCACCAGGUGUAGGGCCCAAAUAAUAUUAUUUAUUGGUGAAAAACAUGAGGUAAUAGCUUUUAUCUUAUUCAAAAUAUCCCAUUACAAAUAUCCUAGCAAAAUAUUACAAUAAAAUAAAAUAAUUACAAAUAGUUGUUUACUCUACUUACUUGAGUGUUGGUUCUAUAUACUGUUAAACUUAUGAUACUGUUUGGGUAUGAGAUAAUAUUAUAAACACUGUAAUUUAUGCAAAUUACUAAAUAAUAAAAUUUACAUCAGUGACACAUUUAGUUACAGUCCGUUAGAAUUAACCAAGCUUUUUAUUACAAUUAUCUUUUCAGCUGUAUAGUUUGUAAAGCUUUAAGUUUUAUUGUAGCUGUAAUUUUAAAGCAAUAAAUUAGUGCAACAAACUAUAGUGCACCAACUUCCGUUGUUCAGUUGUUAACAAUCAUUAAUAUUAAAAUGAAGUCCAAAAGCUUAGUAAUAAAAUAUCUUGAUCACAUUUUAAUUUUAAUUCAUUUUAAUUAUAAACCACAUCUUUAGUGAUCCCUUUAAAACCAAAAGCAAAGUGACCACAUUUUUAUUUUUUAUAAAAAGGUUUAUUUGUUCGAGAAAAGAAUGACAGGAUGUUUGUUUUUUUUAAUAUCAUGAACAGUGAAGGCAUUUCAAACUCUUUAAUGGAAAUAGUUUUCCUCUGCUUCACCCUCAAAUCCCUGCAACACAUUAAAAGAUGGAUAAAAACACUCUCAGGGACACCUUGCGGUCUUUUCCACAGAAUAUAAGGACAACAUUUUUUCAGUCAAUUUUCAUCUUCACCACAAAAGUGUGCACUACUGGGGAGGAGGGCGAGACAAAUUUUCCCCAGCUUUACCAGGCCAUUUCCAUCAUUACAUUUCAUGAACAUGGGUAAGACAAGCAGUAGCGGUUUUAGGCACGGGCGAACCGGGCAGCCGCCCGGGGCGUCAUUUUUUCGUGACACAUUGGGGGCGGCAGCACGAGCAGAAAAACAAAAAAUCCACUGUGUCACGAAGCGGUUUUUCGUCAUUUAUAUAAUUUCACUGUGUGUGGAAUUGGCAAAUUGGCGCUCCCUGCAGCUGCCGGCGCCCCUGAUACUGAAGCAUUGUGUUGUGUGAGAAGUCAAGUGUAAAAAGGGGAGUGGGGCGAGAGGCGCGUGCGAGAUUUCACCUCUGGGUCUCUCUCAAAUGGAACGGACAGGGCGGGGGUGGACGGGGACGGGGGAUCCACACUAGUAAAAUAAUUAAUAAUAGGCUAAAGUCAGUCACACACCUCGACUUUCUUCCAAAUAACGCACAUUUCAUUCAUAAUGUUAUAAUACAGGCCUAUAGUUCCUGCAAAUGAAACUAGGUAGGUAAUACAAAACGAUUGUGCGGUCAUCAAGGUGAAUUGGUUUAGUCUUGACUUCUGGUCGUGAGUGACAGUUGGGGGGAUGGGAAAUCUGUUGAUUGUCGAGUGCCAAAUAAACAGAGAUGGAGAAGAAAAGGUCAAAGCCAGGUGCCCAAUUUCGAAAAAAAAGAAAAGAAGAAGAGGAGAAACGAGCAAAAGAUAAAGGGGCACUUCUAAAAAAUUUUGGAGCAUCCUCUGCCACUGGUCAGGAUGAGCCAACCACCUCCUCCGCUACACAUAUGUCUCCACAAAUAUCUGAUAUUGAGGAUGAAGACCUCUUUGCCUCUACUUCUACCCAGCAUGAGCUUUCAGAAAUGCCUGGAGCUAAACCCCCACUGAGCCCCACUGGCCCUCACAUCUGACUGACAGGAUUCGGACUGAGCUGGUUCACAGAAGACCAAGUAAAGUGCCACCUGACUUUGUUUUCCGUAGGAAUGAGAGUAAUGGGAGAAGUUGCCACCACUAAUAUUUUAAGAAGACAUUAGUAAGUGGUGAAAAGAUGGCAAGAAGUUGGCUGAUUUAUUCAAUUAAGAACAACAGCCUCUUUUGCUUCUGCUGCAAAUUGUUUUCCAAGAGGAACAUCAAUUUAACAAGUGCAGGAAUGGCAAAUUGGAAACAUGCAUGCAAUGAUCUCACAUCAUAUGAAAACAGUUGUUAUAAUAAAAUAUUGCUGUUCGUGCAGAA